AGAUGUAAAGGCAAUCUACCUGUGACAUCUGUCACCUUACUGACCACCAAAGUUGAUUCAGCUGAUACAGGUAGCUAGGCAGGUGUCUCUUUCCUCCCUUACCACUCCAUGCAAGUCCCUCUUGGAUCUGUGUGCUUAGUGGAAGAGAAUGACCACCUCUGAUAAAGGACUAGGUCAAGGGGGUGAGGUCCCCUGUUAGAAUCUCCAAACACAUCCCAAGGUAUUAAUUAUUCUUCCCUCCAUCCAAUAGCUUUG
rnacentral:sRNA from 1 species